GUCGUCGUGGUCGAGUGGUUAAGGCGACAGACUAGAAAUCUGUUGGGCUCUGCCCGCACAGUUUCGAAUUCUGUCGGCGACG
rfam:Ciona savignyi cont_40254, whole genome shotgun sequence.